AUUCCAGCUCCAAUAGUGUAUAUUAAAGUUGUUGCAGUUAAAAAGCUCGUAGUUGGAUUUCUGGCGGGAGCGAUCGGUCCUUCACUCAGUGUUGGAACCUGAUUGUCUCCUGCCAUCCAUGGAGAAAACUUAUCUGGCAUUAAGUUGUCGGGUAGGCAAUCUCCAUCUUUUACUGUGAAAAAAUUAGAGUGUUCAAAGCAGGCUUAUGCCGUUGAAUAUAUUAGCAUGGAAUAAUAAGAUAGGACCUCGGUUCUAUUUUGUUGGUUUCUAGAGCUGAGGUAAUGAUUAAUAGGGAUAGUUGGGGGCAUUCGUAUUUAACUGUCAGAGGUGAAACUCUUGGAUUUGUUAAAGACGGACUACUGCGAAAGCAUUUGCCAAGGUUGUUUUCAUUA
rnacentral:rRNA from 1 species